rnacentral:rRNA from 1 species
UACAGAGGUCUCGAGCGUUGUUCGGAUUCAUUGGGCGUAAAGGGUGCGUAGGUGGCGUGGUAAGUCGGAUGUGAAAUCCCGGGGCUCAACCCUGGAACUGCAUUCGAUACUGCCCUGCUUGAGUACUGGAGAGGAGAUUGGAAUUUACGGUGUAGCAGUGAAAUGCGUAGAUAUCGUAAGGAAGACCAGUGGCGAAGGCGGAUCUCUGGACAGUUACUGACACUGAGGCACGAAGGCCAGGGGAGCAAACGGG